CGCGUGACGUCACGAGGUCACGGAAAGGUGCCGCUCCGCGCGGGAACUGAAAUCUGAGAGGGGCUCCGCAGGAAGGGAUCUCCGUGUGAGGAGGUCGUGCGGACGUUCAUCACCAACUCGCUCGAGUUCAUCAGCGUGGACGUCUCUCGCCAACUGCAGGACUACCGCUAGGGAGGGUGAGAGGGGGGCGUGUCUCCGAGGUGCAGCUGAUGCACGUCUUCCAGGAGGACUUCAUCCUGGGCCAUCGACACCACGAACUCUCCAUCUCACACGGCCACCUCAGCUCAUCGUCCAUCUACCCGGUGUGCCUGGCCCCCCACCUACUACUCACCGCCUGCUCCGACGGCUCCGCAAUCUUCUGGCGCUGCCCAACCUCUCCGCUCGCCCCGCGGUCGCCCAGUGGCGUCG